AAAAUAAGUGCAUACAAAUAAAAUGGACAUUCCACAAGAACACAUCCAAAUGAAAAGAUACACAUUCAAAUGGGGGUAGGGGAGAGGAAUUAGGGUUAAAAAGGAAAUCAGUUCUUCUAUCAAAUAAGGGAUUUGCGAGUUCUAAUAAUGUGCUAAGACCUAAUGUGUGUGUGAUAAUGUGCUAAAACCCAAGGAAGAUGACAAACCAGAUGUUUGGCCCUUCUAGGCCGAAACAGAAUCUGAGGCAGGCUGGUCUAGGGUAGCACUCUUGGGAGAGACAGGAGAGAAGUCUGAGGCCUGCUGAGAGAUAGCGGGUAAAGAGAGAAAGAGAAGAGCCAGCAAAGGUGCCUGAGGAAGAGGAGUUGGAAAAGUUGAGAAGGUAAAUAGUCAAGUGAAAUGUAACAGGUUCUUGAUAAACAAUGCGGCUGGGAGCGUGGAAAGGAAGGUGUUGAUAAAAGAGAUAUAUUAAGAUAAAGUGCAGUUAAAUCCAUCAUUUUUACCACAUUGUACAAGUCCAGCGUGGUUUGGCCAAGUUCAUCUCUGCUCAGCCCAAACUCCAGACACUGGUCUCUCAGAUGUUUUUUUUAACUGUCUCAGGGCUCAGGUACUUGCAGUUUCCUUUAUCAUCCCCCUUCUUUUCACGGCCCUUCUCAUCAUUCAAGUGGUCUCUCUGAGAGGCCCUCUCUGGCUACAUUUUCUAAAGUAGCUUCCACUAUCACUCUCUCUCCCACUGCUUUAUUUUCAGCACUACUCACUACCUGAAAGUAAAGUAUGUCUUUACUUUCUAUUAUCUUUUUCUCCACAAGACUGCAAGCUCCAUGAGAGCAAGCCCUUGUCUUGGUUAUUCACCAUCAUAUGGACAGUGGUUGGCACAGUGGGUGGCACAUGGUAGAUACUCAAUAAAUAUUUCCUCCAUUAAAGGCUUGUGAAGAAAGCUAAGUGGACUCUGAUAUGUUCCACCCAAGUGAUGGAGUAUAUGGAGAUGCUGUUAACUGAGAGGAAUGGUGAGAAAGGGAAGAUGUUUUGAGGAUGUUCAGUUUUGUAAAUGUUGGGUUUUGAGGAAACCCAUGACAUAUCCAGGCGGAGGUUGUCAACAGGUCAUGAGUCAAAAAUUGGGUGAAACCUGUAGAUUUGGGAGCUGUUGGCAGGUCACCGUUGAAACCUUGAGGAGAAAUGAGGUAGCAGAGAGUGAGUAAACACUGCCAAUUGAAUGAGGUCAUUAUACGCAAUGCUUAAGCUCCACUGUGGAGCCUAAUCUUAGAUCUAUGAAAUCUGGCUCUGAAUUCCACUUCCAUGUAAAAAAUACAGAAGCAAGAUUCCUCCACAUUUGCCCAUUGUCUGACAGAUUGAGACAGAAACAAUCCCUGUCAUCCAGGGAGCUUAUGCUUAGCUAAAACAUUCCAUGUACGCUGAAGUUAGGAACACCAAUUUCCUAGCCCCUGCUACCUAAGAAGCAUUGUUCUGGCUUGGAGUUGCCCACCAGAGCCAUCUCAGGCUACAAAGGCUGAAAGAUUACAAGAGCCAAAACACAUCAGUUUUGAAGAGAAAGUUAUCCUAACAGUUCUGUUCAGAUCAAGAUGAACUUUAAAUAAUCCAUAUCCACCACAGGCUUCUUACUAAGCAGUUCAGGACUCUGGUCAAAUUGCCCACAGUCAGACUGAAAAGAGAAGGGAAAUCAUCUUCAUCAUAUUGGUCAGGCUGGUCUUGAACUCCUGACCUCAGGUGAUCUACCCAUCUCGACCUCCCAAAGUGCUGGGAUUACAGGCAUGAGCCACAGUGCCCAGCCCAUUGCAUCAUUCUUCAAGCCAUCUUCUUAGUGACAGGACAUGUUCCUGGUUGUCCUCUUACCUUUCUAAAGAAUAGUUCCUUCUCCAUUGGCUUCUCUGCUCCUCUUCCUCCUCACACUAGCCUCACACUUUUCUUGGGGUGAGGGGGUGGGGUCCUGAGGCUUCUCUGCAGAGUUAGAGGUCUCUUCAGGACAGCUUGAAACAUGAUCCAGCCUUAGUCCCUUAUUUGGCAGGACUGGAAACUGAGGUCCAAAAAGGAUAUGUAAUCUACAUAAAGUCAUGGGAAUAAUUUAGUGACACAAUUGGGACUAGAACCUAGGUCUCCAGAUCUCCAACUGCAUUCACUGCUCAGUUCAUCUUACCACUGACUUGAACACAGGAGGAAGAACACCAAAGAGUGUUGCUGAUCUAUAUGAAGCUCUUUGUUCUUCAUCUUCUAAGUCCUUGUUAUUCAAAGUGUAGUCCAUAAACAGCAGGCACUAUCUAGAUGCUUAUUGAAAAUGCAGACUCUCAGGCCUCACCCAGACCUACUGAAAGAAUCAGAAUCUGCAUUUUAACAAGAUGAUCAGGUGAUUCUAACACACAUUAAAAUUUGA
rnacentral:lncRNA from 1 species